rnacentral:tRNA from 2 species
AUUUAUAUAGUUUAAAUAAAACCUUACAUUUUCAUUGUAAUAAUAAAAUUCCAAUUUUUAUAAAUA